UUAAGCGACUAAGCGUACACGGUGGAUGCCCUGGCAGUCAGAGGCGAUGAAGGACGUGCUAAUCUGCGAUAAGCGUCGGUAAGGUGAUAUGAACCGUUAUAACCGGCGAUUUCCGAAUGGGGAAACCCAGUGUGUUUCGACACACUAUCAUUAACUGAAUCCAUAGGUUAAUGAGGCGAACCGGGGGAACUGAAACAUCUAAGUACCCCGAGGAAAAGAAAUCAACCGAGAUUCCCCCAGUAGCGGCGAGCGAACGGGGAGCAGCCCAGAGCCUGAAUCAGUGUGUGUGUUAGUGGAAGCGUCUGGAAAGGCGCGCGAUACAGGGUGACAGCCCCGUACACAAAAAUGCACAUGCUGUGAGCUCGAUGAGUAGGGCGGGACACGUGGUAUCCUGUCUGAAUAUGGGGGGACCAUCCUCCAAGGCUAAAUACUCCUGACUGACCGAUAGUGAACCAGUACCGUGAGGGAAAGGCGAAAAGAACCCCGGCGAGGGGAGUGAAAAAGAACCUGAAACCGUGUACGUACAAGCAGUGGGAGCACGCUUAGGCGUGUGACUGCGUACCUUUUGUAUAAUGGGUCAGCGACUUAUAUUCUGUAGCAAGGUUAACCGAAUAGGGGAGCCGAAGGGAAACCGAGUCUUAACUGGGCGUUAAGUUGCAGGGUAUAGACCCGAAACCCGGUGAUCUAGCCAUGGGCAGGUUGAAGGUUGGGUAACACUAACUGGAGGACCGAACCGACUAAUGUUGAAAAAUUAGCGGAUGACUUGUGGCUGGGGGUGAAAGGCCAAUCAAACCGGGAGAUAGCUGGUUCUCCCCGAAAGCUAUUUAGGUAGCGCCUCGUGAAUUCAUCUCCGGGGGUAGAGCACUGUUUCGGCAAGGGGGUCAUCCCGACUUACCAACCCGAUGCAAACUGCGAAUACCGGAGAAUGUUAUCACGGGAGACACACGGCGGGUGCUAACGUCCGUCGUGAAGAGGGAAACAACCCAGACCGCCAGCUAAGGUCCCAAAGUCAUGGUUAAGUGGGAAACGAUGUGGGAAGGCCCAGACAGCCAGGAUGUUGGCUUAGAAGCAGCCAUCAUUUAAAGAAAGCGUAAUAGCUCACUGGUCGAGUCGGCCUGCGCGGAAGAUGUAACGGGGCUAAACCAUGCACCGAAGCUGCGGCAGCGACACUGUGUGUUGUUGGGUAGGGGAGCGUUCUGUAAGCCUGUGAAGGUGUACUGUGAGGUAUGCUGGAGGUAUCAGAAGUGCGAAUGCUGACAUAAGUAACGAUAAAGCGGGUGAAAAGCCCGCUCGCCGGAAGACCAAGGGUUCCUGUCCAACGUUAAUCGGGGCAGGGUGAGUCGACCCCUAAGGCGAGGCCGAAAGGCGUAGUCGAUGGGAAACAGGUUAAUAUUCCUGUACUUGGUGUUACUGCGAAGGGGGGACGGAGAAGGCUAUGUUGGCCGGGCGACGGUUGUCCCGGUUUAAGCGUGUAGGCUGGUUUUCCAGGCAAAUCCGGAAAAUCAAGGCUGAGGCGUGAUGACGAGGCACUACGGUGCUGAAGCAACAAAUGCCCUGCUUCCAGGAAAAGCCUCUAAGCAUCAGGUAACAUCAAAUCGUACCCCAAACCGACACAGGUGGUCAGGUAGAGAAUACCAAGGCGCUUGAGAGAACUCGGGUGAAGGAACUAGGCAAAAUGGUGCCGUAACUUCGGGAGAAGGCACGCUGAUAUGUAGGUGAAGUCCCUCGCGGAUGGAGCUGAAAUCAGUCGAAGAUACCAGCUGGCUGCAACUGUUUAUUAAAAACACAGCACUGUGCAAACACGAAAGUGGACGUAUACGGUGUGACGCCUGCCCGGUGCCGGAAGGUUAAUUGAUGGGGUUAGCGCAAGCGAAGCUCUUGAUCGAAGCCCCGGUAAACGGCGGCCGUAACUAUAACGGUCCUAAGGUAGCGAAAUUCCUUGUCGGGUAAGUUCCGACCUGCACGAAUGGCGUAAUGAUGGCCAGGCUGUCUCCACCCGAGACUCAGUGAAAUUGAACUCGCUGUGAAGAUGCAGUGUACCCGCGGCAAGACGGAAAGACCCCGUGAACCUUUACUAUAGCUUGACACUGAACAUUGAGCCUUGAUGUGUAGGAUAGGUGGGAGGCUUUGAAGUGUGGACGCCAGUCUGCAUGGAGCCGACCUUGAAAUACCACCCUUUAAUGUUUGAUGUUCUAACGUGGACCCGUGAUCCGGGUUGCGGACAGUGUCUGGUGGGUAGUUUGACUGGGGCGGUCUCCUCCUAAAGAGUAACGGAGGAGCACGAAGGUUGGCUAAUCCUGGUCGGACAUCAGGAGGUUAGUGCAAUGGCAUAAGCCAGCUUGACUGCGAGCGUGACGGCGCGAGCAGGUGCGAAAGCAGGUCAUAGUGAUCCGGUGGUUCUGAAUGGAAGGGCCAUCGCUCAACGGAUAAAAGGUACUCCGGGGAUAACAGGCUGAUACCGCCCAAGAGUUCAUAUCGACGGCGGUGUUUGGCACCUCGAUGUCGGCUCAUCACAUCCUGGGGCUGAAGUAGGUCCCAAGGGUAUGGCUGUUCGCCAUUUAAAGUGGUACGCGAGCUGGGUUUAGAACGUCGUGAGACAGUUCGGUCCCUAUCUGCCGUGGGCGCUGGAGAACUGAGGGGGGCUGCUCCUAGUACGAGAGGACCGGAGUGGACGCAUCACUGGUGUUCGGGUUGUCAUGCCAAUGGCACUGCCCGGUAGCUAAAUGCGGAAGAGAUAAGUGCUGAAAGCAUCUAAGCACGAAACUUGCCCCGAGAUGAGUUCUCCCUGACUCCUUGAGAGUCCUGAAGGAACGUUGAAGACGACGACGUUGAUAGGCCGGGUGUGUAAGCGCAGCGAUGCGUUGAGCUAACCGGUACUAAUGAACCGUGAGGCUUAACCUU
rnacentral:rRNA from 1 species